GACUUUGCUCCUGACUCAUAAACAACGCUAGCUAUAAGAUUAACAGAUGCAAUUCAAGAUAGCUCUUCUCGCCCAGGAGGUGAAAAGAAUUGUGAACAAAGUGGUGAAUGGGUGCGUAACACAUAAGAAUCUACGAAAGAGUUUGAGCCAAAUCUCGAGGAAAGCUAAAAAAAUAUUAUUUGAUGAACAUGCAUAGUAUUAGGUAGUUGGUCAUGUUAAGGUUGACCAAGCCAAUGAUGUUUAGCUGGUUUUAUUGGAGAUUAGGCACACUAGGACUGGGACACGGCUCGGAGUCCUACAUAGGGCAGCAGUGGAGUAUCUUGGACAAUCAACGGAAGCUCAGUCCAACAAUAUCACAUGAGUGAAAAAAGGCAACGCCUUUUGAAAAGUUCUUUUGUUGAGUGCAGUCAUGAUAGGACUCGAGGAAAAAGCCUUGAUGAACUUCUUUUGAUCACUUUUCUAACAUUGCAACUCUAAUUCAUUUAGGCAAGACAUCUUG
rnacentral:ncRNA from 1 species